rnacentral:snRNA from 1 species
GCUCGCUUCGGCGGCGCAUAUACUAAAAUUGGAACGAUGCAGAGAAGAUUAGCAUGGCCCCUGCGCAAGGAUGACACGCGGAUUCGUGAAGCGUUCCAUAUUUUU